GUCCCCGUGGCGCAACGGAUUAGCGCGUUGGACUUCUAAUUCAAAGGUUCCGGGUUCGAAUCCCGGCGGGGAUA